rnacentral:rRNA from 1 species
CUACGGGUGGCAGCAGUGGGGAAUAUUGGACAAUGGGGGAAACCCUGAUCCAACAAUGCCGCGUGUGUGAAGAAGGCCUGCGGGUUGUAAAGCACUUUCGGUUGGGAGGACUGCUUCUAGCACUAAUAUUGUUGGAAGUUGACGUUACCUUCAGAAGAAGCACCGGCUAACUCCGUGCCAGCAGCCGCGGUAAUACGGAGGGUGCAAGCGUUAAUCGGAAUUACUGGGCGUAAAGCGCGCGUAGGCGGCUAGAUCAGUCGGGUGUGAAAGCCCCGGGCUUAACCUGGGAACUGCAUCCGAUACUGUCUAGCUUGAGUACAGGAGAGGAGAGUGGAAUUCCACAUGUAGCGGUGAAAUGCGUAGAUAUGUGGAGGAACACCAAUGGCGAAGGCAGCUCUCUGGCCUGAUACUGACGCUGAGGUGCGAAAGCGCGGGGAGCAAACAGGAUUAGAUACCCCUGUAGUC